AGAGUUUGAUCAUGGCUCAGAACGAACGCUGGCGGCAGGCCUCAAACAUGCAAGUCGAGCGCCCAGCAAUGGGAGCGGCGGACGGGUGCGUAACACGUGGGAAUGUACCUAUCGGUUCGGAACAACUCAGGGAAACUUGUGCUAAUACCGGAUACGCCCGCAAGGGGAAAGAUUUAUCGCCGAUGGAUCAGCCCGCGUAGGAUUAGCUUGUUGGUAGGGUAACGGCCUACCAAGGCGACGAUCCUUAGCUGUUCUGAGAGGAAGAUCAGCCACACUGGGACUGAGACACGGCCCAGACUCCUACGGGAGGCAGCAGUUGGGAAUCUUGGACAAUGGGCGAAAGCCUGAUCCAGCCAUGCCGCGUGAGUGAUGAAGGCCUUCGGGUUGUAAAGCUCUUUUGUCAGGGACGAUAAUGACGGUACCUGAAGAAUAAGCUCCGGCUAACUUCGUGCCAGCAGCCGCGGUAAUACGAAGGGGGCUAGCGUUGUUCGGAUUUACUGGGCGUAAAGCGCGCGCAGGCGGCCUUUCAAGUCAGGGGUGAAAGCCCAGAGCUCAACUCUGGAAUUGCCUUUGAAACUGUGAGGCUCGAGUGCGGGAGAGGUGAGUGGAAUUCCCAGUGUAGAGGUGAAAUUCGUAGAUAUUGGGAAGAACACCGGUGGCGAAGGCGGCUCACUGGCCCGUUUCUGACGCUCAGGCGCGAUAGCGUGGGGAUCAAACAGGAUUAGAUACCCUAGUAGUCC
rnacentral:rRNA from 1 species